GACGAACCGUGCAAACGUUGUUCGGAAUCACUGGGCUUAAAGGGCGCGUAGGCGGUCGAGUAAGUCUGGGGUGAAAUCUUUCGGCUCAACCGGAAAAGUGCCUCGGAUACUGCUCGUCUGGAGGGAGGUAGGGGCAUGUGGAACUUCUGGUGGAGCGGUGAAAUGCGUUGAUAUCAGAAGGAACGCCGGUGGCGAAAGCGACGUGCUGGACCUCUUCUGACGCUGAUGCGCGAAAGCUAGGGGAGCAAACGGG
rnacentral:rRNA from 1 species